rnacentral:rRNA from 1 species
UACGAAGGGGGCUAGCGUUGCUCGGAAUCACUGGGCGUAAAGCGCACGUAGGCGGAUCUUUAAGUCAGGGGUGAAAUCCCAAGGCUCAACCUUGGAACUGCCUUUGAUACUGGGGAUCUCGAGUCCGGAAGAGGUUGGUGGAACUGCGAGUGUAGAGGUGAAAUUCGUAGAUAUUCGCAAGAACACCAGUGGCGAAGGCGGCCAACUGGUCCGGUACUGACGCUGAGGUGCGGAAAAGCG